CAGACUAUACUUUCAGGGAUAAUUUCUAUAGUUCUUGUCUCGAGAAAUGUUGUUCUAAAGUGUUUGGUCUAGCAAACCAUGAUGAAUCUGACCCUACUCCCUUUAAGUCCCUUUAAGUCAGUUGAAUUAUUGGG
ensembl:snoRNA U3 Small nucleolar RNA U3